rnacentral:rRNA from 1 species
GACGAACGCUGGCGGCGUGCCUAAUACAUGCAAGUCGAGCGGACGGAUGGGAGCUUGCUCCCAGACCGUCAGCGGCGGACGGGUGAGUAACCCGUGGGAAACCUGCCGGUAAGACGGGGAAAACUCCGGGAAACCGGGGCAAAUACCGGAAAACUCUUUCCCUAACAUGAGGGAAAGCUGAAAGAGGGCAUCUGGCUAUCACUAAAAGAUGGGCCCGCGGCGCAUUAGCUAGUUGGUGAGGUAACGGCUCACCAAGGCGACGAUGCGUAGCCGACCUGAGAGGGUGAUCGGCCACACUGGGACUGAGACACGGCCCAGACUCCUACGGGAGGCAGCAGUAGGGAAUCUUCCGCAAUGGACGAAAGUCUGACGGAGCAACGCCGCGUGAGUGAUGAAGGUUUUCGGAUCGUAAAACUCUGUUGUCAGGGAAGAACAAGUACCGGAGUAACUGCCGGUACCUUGACGGUACCUGACCAGAAAGCCACGGCUAACUACGUG